ensembl:misc_RNA Metazoa_SRP Metazoan signal recognition particle RNA
ACUUGAGGCGCACGCCUGUAGUCCCAGCUACUCUGGAGGCUGAGACAGGGCGGAUCGCUUGAGUCCAGGAGUUCCGGGUUAUAAUGCGCUAUGCCGAUCGGGUGUCCGCACGAAGUUCGGCAUCAAUAUGGUGACCUUCCGGAAGCGGGGGACCACCAGGUUGCCUAAGGAGGGGCGAACCGGUCCAGGUAGGAAACCGAGCAGGUCAAAACUCCCGUGCUGAUCAGUAGUGGGAUCGCGCCGACAACUGUUUAUGAAACUCUCUUUAGGGUUCUGCAGAAUACAUGGUUUCCUUCUCUU